rnacentral:rRNA from 1 species
CGAACGGGUGAGUAAUGCGUGACCAACCUGCCCCAUGCUCCAGAAUAGCUCUUGGAAACGGGUGGUAAUGCUGGAUGCUCCAACUUGACGCAUGUCUUGUUGGGAAAGUGUUUAGUGGGAUGGGAUGGGGUCGCGUCCUAUCAGCUUGUAGGCGGGGUAAUGGCCCACCUAGGCUUCGACGGGUAGCCGGCCUGAGAGGGCGGACGGCCACAUUGGGACUGAGAUACAGCCCAGACUCCUACGGGAGGCAGCAGGG